ensembl:snoRNA
UUGGCCCUGAAUCGAGGCUGGCAGUUUGCUGCAACUCUUGGUUUCAAGCAGGCACCUAAAGAAUUAUCUUUCUGUGGCCUGUUGGCCAUUUCAGAACUUUGGAAACGUAAUGGUCAAUUCAUUAGAAAGAAACAGUU